AAAGAUAGAGGCGCAGGGAACAAGAGUAGCCGUGCAAAAAAGCCCCCGGAGGGCGUGCGGCGAAAGGGAACUCUGCCGAAGCGGGAAGAACCGGAAUCUUCUUCAGGCUGGGCUGUGGGAGAACAUCUUACAGACUGUCACAGAAAUGUGGAGAGCUAUCGU
rnacentral:ncRNA from 1 species